rnacentral:lncRNA from 1 species
CAAAAUCCAUCCUUAAAACCUUCCCCCCUUGAUUCGACCAGCAUGCUUCCAUCAUGAAAACUUGAGUUUCAACCAUAGAAAAUGAAAAAGAAAGCAUGGGUAAGAUAGAUCUUAAGCUAAAUCGCAAAAUCUUACCUCCGAUUGCUUCAUUUUUUGGAAAUCCAAUGAAUUUCUCUUGAAUUUUUCCUCCUUAGGGUUUUUCUAUUCUUU